rnacentral:rRNA from 1 species
UACAGAGGUCUCAAGCGUUGUUCGGAUUCAUUGGGCGUAAAGGGUGCGUAGGUGGCGCGGUAAGUCGGGUGUGAAAUUCGUCGGAGUCUAACUCCGAAAAUCGUCAUUCGAUACUGCCGUGCUCGAGGACUGGAGAGGAGACUGGAAUUCAUGGUGUAGCAGUGAAAUGCGUAGAGAUCAUGAGGAAGACCAGUGGCGAAGGCGGAUCUCUGGACAGUUCAGCACUGAGGCACGAAGGCCAGGGGAGCAAACGGG